GGCGGAGCAAAACACAAAACAACAGUCUCAGUUCAGAUUGUAGGCUGAAACUCGCCUAUAUGAAGUCGGAAUUGCUAGUAAUCGCGGAUCAGCAUGCCGCGGUGAAUACGUUCCCGGGCCUUGUACACACCGCCCGUCACACCAUGAGAGUCGAUAACACCCGAAGCCUGUAGUCUAACAGCAAUGAGGACGCAGUCGAAGGUGGGAUUGAUAAUUAGGGUGAAGUCGUAACAAGGUAGC
rnacentral:rRNA from 1 species